rnacentral:rRNA from 1 species
UACGUAGGGCGCAAGCGUUAUCCGGAAUUAUUGGGCGUAAAGAGCUCGUAGGCGGUUUGUCGCGUCUGCCGUGAAAGUCCGGGGCUCAACUCCGGAUCUGCGGUGGGUACGGGCAGACUAGAGUGAUGUAGGGGAGACUGGAAUUCCUGGUGUAGCGGUGAAAUGCGCAGAUAUCAGGAGGAACACCGAUGGCGAAGGCAGGUCUCUGGGCACUUACUGACGCUGAGGAGCGAAAGCGUGGGGAGCGAACAGG